AUAAUCAUAAGGCAUCCUUAUGAAUAAUUCUUGUUCAUUCAAACGUUCACGCUGAUCUGUCAGAAAAAAAAAUGGCUCGCUUCAUCCUUACCCAUGUGGCCCAAUAAGGAAGUAGCUGAAAUUAAGUUUUUCUCUUUAAGAAUACGUCGAACGAACAUCAACCAUCUAUAUAUUGUGCUGCAGAAAUACGAGAUCCAUUGUGCUGUUCUUCCUGGUCAGGGCAAUGUUUUUCCAUGGAAAACGCCAUUAUUCAAAACACGAUCAACUGUACAAAGUGAUCAGAACAUUACCCCUCGUGAAAUAGAGUCCAAUAUCUGGAAGUAAAUGGACCGAAUCAUUUUAACCGCUGCACCUAAAAGUCAGCAAAGCACGAUGCCUCUUCCCACGGAGCACAGCACUGAAGGAGAGCCACUUUUAACAGACUUUGGAGAAAAAAAAGUCCAGGCAGAGCAACAGCGGAGACAGCAAUAGUGAUCAGAAUAAAUAUCGUCGCUACUCAUCGUUCAAUAUGUUCAAAAAGCAGGAAGCUUGUCAUCCUUGAACGACGUAUCAUCUAACUAGGAAUUAAGAAGAAAUUCUGGCAUGCGAUUCGAAUUCCAAUUCGAGAGCAAACGAGUGUAAAUUUAAUUUAUAGGGGAAAGAGGGGCAAGAUCGCCAUAUGGGGCAAGACAGCCAACGUUGAUUAUGAUUUAAGUGAGCAAUAUAUUCACAUUAUUAUUACGAGGGAUGGUUAACAAUAAUGUAAAAGGGCUAUUCAACUGAAAAAUGCACUUUGACAACCUUACUUGUUCUUGAAAUAUUGAUUAAGAUGAUGUAGUUGAAAUUCGAAUUUUCUUAUAAUUUUGUAGAUACACAACUCAAGGUUUGAAGCCAAAA